rnacentral:misc_RNA from 1 species
GAAGCUCUUCCAAGGAGCGUCGUCAUCAUUAUUAUUAUUAUUGUUAUCAUUGUACAUUUCAUCCUCGCGCUCAAAGUCAAAGUCAAAGUCGACUUGAGGUUUAAUGCAGGGAAUGUUAGGCAUCUUGAAACGCAAGGAAGCAGGACGAUGCAUCUUAACAUGAAAGACAGGGGUGUCAUCAAAGGAAAACUCACGCUCCCCAUAAUGCAGUGUCCCAUAGUGAUCAUUGGUAUGACGAAGACUUUUAAAAUAUUUAGGAAGCAAACGGAGAUCCACAAGGUGUUUGUUCUUGAAAAUGCCACCUUUUCUCGCCCAUAACAAGGCUAGUCGGAGAACAUUCCAAGCUCUACGAGCAACCAAUGAUCUCUUCCUCUGCAUUUUCGACUUUUCUUGCAUCUUUGCAGCUUGUAGUUUAAAAAGCGUAGAAGAUAACAAACUUGAAAAAGAAAAGAGAAAGUGUAUGCACUUUUGUCUUUUGGAUAAUCUCUUUUGCUUUUUGUUCAAUGUUUA